rnacentral:rRNA from 1 species
UAACGACUCUCGGCAACGGAUAUCUCGGCUCUCGCAUCGAUGAAGAACGUAGCGAAAUGCGAUACUUGGUGUGAAUUGCAGAAUCCCGUGAACCAUCGAGUCUUUGAACGCAAGUUGCGCCCAAAGCCGUUAGGCCGAGGGCACGUCUGCCUGGGCGUCACGC